AUGGCUGUCGUCAGCUCGUGUUGUGAAAUGUUGGGUUAAGUCCCGCAACGAGCGCAACCCUUAUCCUUUGUUGCCAGCGGUCCGGCCGGGAACUCAAAGGAGACUGCCAGUGAUAAACUGGAGGAAGGUGGGGAUGACGUCAAGUCAUCAUGGCCCUUACGACCAGGGCUACACACGUGCUACAAUGGCAUAUACAAAGAGAAGCGACCUCGCGAGAGCAAGCGGACCUCAUAAAGUAUGUCGUAGUCCGGAUUGGAGUCUGCAACUCGACUCCAUGAAGUCGGAAUCGCUAGUAAUCGUAGAUCAGAAUGCUACGGUGAAUACGUUCCCGGGCCUUGUACACACCGCCCGUCACACCAUGGGAGUGGGUUGCAAAAGAAGUAGGUAGCUUAACCUUCGGGAGGGCGCUUACCACUUUGUGAUUCAUGACUGGGGUGAAGUCGUAACAAGGUAACCGUAGGGGAACCUGCGGUUGGAUCACCUCCUUACCUUAAAGAA
rnacentral:rRNA from 1 species